UACGUAGGGUGCGAGCGUUGUCCGGAAUUAUUGGGCGUAAAGAGCUCGUAGGCGGUCUGUCGCGUCGGUCGUGAAAACUUGGGGCUUAACCCCGAGCUUGCGGUCGAUACGGGCAUGACUGGAGUUCGGUAGGGGAGACUGGAAUUCCUGGUGUAGCGGUGGAAUGCGUAGAGAUCCCAAGAACACCAGUUGCGAAGGCGGCCGACUGGACACAUAUUGACGCUGAGGCUCGAAAGCAUGGGAGCAACAGG
rnacentral:rRNA from 1 species